GACUCCAUGGCCCAAUGGAUAAGGUGUUGGUCUACGAAACCAGAGGUCCUGGGUUUGAUCCCCAGUGGAGUCA
rnacentral:tRNA from 1 species